rnacentral:rRNA from 1 species
AUUGAACGCUGGCGGCAGGCUUAACACAUGCAAGUCGAGCGGGGGAAGGUAGCUUGCUACUGGACCUAGCGGCGGACGGGUGAGUAAUGCUUAGGAAUCUGCCUAUUAGUGGGGGACAACAUCUCGAAAGGGAUGCUAAUACCGCAUACGUCCUACGGGAGAAAGCAGGGGAUCUUCGGACCUUGCGCUAAUAGAUGAGCCUAAGUCGGAUUAGCUAGUUGGUGGGGUAAAGGCCUACCAAGGCGACGAUCUGUAGCGGGUCUGAGAGGAUGAUCCGCCACACUGGGACUGAGACACGGCCCAGACUCCUACGGGAGGCAGCAGUGGGGAAUAUUGGACAAUGGGGGGAACCCUGAUCCAGCCAUGCCGCGUGUGUGAAGAAGGCCUUAUGGUUGUAAAGCACUUUAAGCGAGGAGGAGGCCACUUUAGUUAAUACCUAGAGAUGGUGGACGUUACUCGCAGAAUAAGCACCGGCUAACUCUGUGCCAGCAGCCGCGGUAAUACAGAGGGUGCGAGCGUUAAUCGGAUUUACUGGGCGUAAAGCGUGCGUAGGCGGCUUAUUAAGUCGGAUGUGAAAUCCCCGAGCUUAACUUGGGAAUUGCAUUCGAUACUGGUGAGCUAGAGUAUGGGAGAGGAUGGUAGAAUUCCAGGUGUAGCGGUGAAAUGCGUAGAGAUCUGGAGGAAUACCGAUGGCGAAGGCAGCCAUCUGGCCUAAUACUGACGCUGAGGUACGAAAGCAUGGGGAGCAAACAGGAUUAGAUACCCUGGUAGUCCAUGCC